rnacentral:tRNA from 1 species
ACCCCUGUAGCUUAAACAAAGCAUCGGUCUUGUAAGCCGAAGACUGUAAAUUAAACCCUACCAGAGGUU